rnacentral:rRNA from 1 species
AAGUCGUAACAAGGUUUCCGUAGGUGAACCUGCGGAAGGAUCAUUACCAAAAUUUAGCUGCUCCGAUUCAGGCCGGUUGCACGCUUCAACCCUUUGUGAACCAAAAACCUUACGCUUCGGCAGCAGGCUCCAGCUGGAAACAGCUGGGCUGUGAGCCUGCCGAUGGCACAAUUUAAACCAGUCUUUUAAAUAUUGUCUGAACUAAAUAUUUUCGAAUGAAAAUUAAAACUUUCAACAACGGAUCUCUUGGUUCUCGCAUCGAUGAAGAACGCAGCGAAACGCGAUAGUUAAUGUGAAUUGCAGAAUUCAGUGAAUCAUCGAGUCUUUGAACGCACAUUGCGCCCAUUGGUAUUCCUUUGGGCAUGUCUGUUUGAGCGUCAUUACAACACCUCAGCGCAAGCUGGUUUUGAGCCGUGAGGAUUUCGUUCAUUCGAACCCUUCCGCUUUAAAGUUGUAAGCUCUGCUGACCUCCAGCUUGACCGAAAACAUAGUAAACUUCUUGCUUGUUUAUGGAAAGGUUGAGGAGCUAGGCCUGAAAAACACCUUCAAUUUCUAAGGUUUGACCUCAGAUCAGACAAGGAUACCCGCUGAACUUAAGCAUAUCAAUAAGCGGAGGAAAAGAAACCAACAGGGAUUGCCUCAGUAACGGCGAGUGAAGCGGCAACAGCUCAAAUUUGAAAUCUGGAGCUUUCAGCUUCCGAGUUGUAAUUUGAAGAGGAUGUUUCGGUUGCGGCCUGGGCCUAAGUUCCUUGGAACAGGACGUCAUGGAGGGUGAGAAUCCCGUACAUGGCUGCAGGCUUGCUUCUAUGUGAAACUCCUUCGAAGAGUCGAGUUGUUUGGGAAUGCAGCUCAAAAUGGGUGGUAAAUUUCAUCUAAAGCUAAAUAUUGGCGAGAGACCGAUAGCGCACAAGUAGAGUGAUCGAAAGAUGAAAAGCACUUUGAAAAGAGAGUUAAACAGUACGUGAAAUUGUUGAAAGGGAAGCGCUUGCAAUCAGACUCACUUUCAGUUGAUCAACUGAACCUUCUGGUUCGUGCACUCUGCUGUUUGUGGGCCAGCAUCAGUUGGAGCGGUGGGACAAAGGUAGCAGGAAUGUGGCUCUCUUCGGGGAGUGUUAUAGCCUGCUGCGUAAUGCCAUCAGCCCUGAUUGAGGUUCGCGAUUCAUCUAGGAUGCUGGCUUAAUGGUUGUAAGCGACC